AUUGAACGCUGGCGGCAGGCCUAACACAUGCAAGUCGAACGCGUGGCGGACGGGUGAGUAAUGUCUGGGAAACUGCCUGAUGGAGGGGGAUAACUACUGGAAACGGUAGCUAAUACCGCAUACCAUCCAAUGUGCCAAGAUGGGAUUAGCUAGUAGGUGGGGUAAUGGCGCACCUAGGCCACGAUCCCUAGCUGGUCUGAGAGGAUGACCAGCCACACUGGAACUGAGACACGGUCCAGACUCCUACGGGAGGCAGCAGUGGGGAAUAUUGCCCAAUGGGCGCAAGCCUGAUGCAGCCAUGCCGCGUGUGUGAAGAAGGCCUUCGGGUUGUAAAGCACUUUCAGCGGGGAGGCGUUACCCGCAGAAGAAGCACCGGCUAACUCCGUGCCAGCCGCCGCGGUAAUUC
rnacentral:rRNA from 1 species